GAUGAACGCUGGCGGCGUGCCUAAUACAUGCAAGUCGAGCGAACAGACGAGGAGCUUGCUCCUUUGACGUUAACGGCGGACGGGUGAGUAACACGUAGGUAACCUACCUAUAAGACUGGGAUGACUUCGGGAAACCGGAGCUAAUACCGGAUAAUAUUUCGAACCGCAUGGUUCGAUAGUGAAAGAUGGCUUUGCUAUCACUUAUAGAUGGACCUGCGCCGUAUUAGCUAGUUGGUAAGGUAACGGCUUACCAAGGCAACGAUACGUAGCCGACCUGAGAGGGUGAUCGGCCACACUGGAACUGAGACACGGUCCAGACUCCUACGGGAGGCAGCAGUAGGGAAUCUUCCGCAAUGGGCGAAAGCCUGACGGAGCAACGCCGCGUGAGUGAUGAAGGUCUUCGGAUCGUAAAACUCUGUUAUUAGGGAAGAACAAACGUGUAAGUAACUGUGCACGUCUUGACGGUACCUAAUCAGAAAGCCACGGCUAACUACGUG
rnacentral:rRNA from 1 species